GAUGAACGCUGGCGGCGUGCCUAAUACAUGCAAGUCGAGCGAACAGACGAGGAGCUUGCUCCUCUGAUGUUAGCGGCGGACGGGUGAGUAACACGUGGAUAACCUACCUAUAAGACUGGGAUAACUUCGGGAAACCGGAGCCAAUACCGGAUAACAUGUUGAACCGCAUGGUUCAACAGUGAAAGACGGUCUUGCUGUCACUUAUAGAUGGAUCCGCGCCGCAUUAGCUAGUUGGUAAGGUAACGGCUUACCAAGGCAACGAUGCGUAGCCGACCUGAGAGGGUGAUCGGCCACACUGGAACUGAGACACGGUCCAGACUCCUACGGGAGGCAGCAGUAGGGAAUCUUCCGCAAUGGGCGAAAGCCUGACGGAGCAACGCCGCGUGAGUGAAGAAGGUCUUCGGAUCGUAAAACUCUGUUAUUAGGGAAGAACAAAUGUGUAAGUAACUAUGCACGUCUUGACGGUACCUAAUCAGAAAGCCACGGCUAACUACGUG
rnacentral:rRNA from 1 species